rnacentral:rRNA from 1 species
AUACGGAGGGUGCAAGCGUUAAUCGGAAUUACUGGGCGUAGAGAGUACGUAGGUGGUUUGUUAAGUCAGAUGUGAAAGCCCCGGGCUCAACCUGGGAACUGCAUUUGAAACUGGCAAACUAGAGUAUGGUAGAGGGGGGUAGAAUUUCUAGUGUAGCGGUGAAAUGCGUAGAUAUUAGAAGGAAUACCAGUGGCGAAGGCGGCCCCCUGGACCAAUACUGACACUGAGGUACGAAAGCGUGGGUAGCGAACAGGAUUAGAAACCCGAGUAGUCC